UACGUAGGGUGCAAGCGUUAAUCGGAAUUACUGGGCGUAAAGCGUGCGCAGGCGGUUUUUGUAAGUCAGAUGUGAAAAUCCCCCGGGCUUAACCUGGGAACUGCGUUUGAAACUACAAGGCUAGAGUGUGGCAGAGGGGGGUGGAAUUCCACGUGUAGCAGUGAAAUGCGUAGAGAUGUGGAGGAACACCGAUGGCGAAGGCAGCCCCCCUGGGUUAACACUGACGCUGAGGAGCGAAAGCGUGGGGAGCGAACAGG
rnacentral:rRNA from 1 species